UGACCACCAUGUAAUCAAUUUAUUUCAACAAAGUAACUGUAUUCUAAUUAUCACCUUUUUAAACUUUUUAAACACUGGACACAAUUAGACAAGGUGGAAGCAAUACUGAAGGCAAUGAACACAGGACAAGGGACUGUCAAAAUAAAACAGGAAAGACACAGAUAUGGAGAUGCAAGCUUAACAUUGAGUCUGGGGAAGAAACAGUCAUUCUGACUGCAGGAGACAGAGAGGGAAUAUAGAACAUGGACACAAGAGUAACUAGAUGUGGAACACAGGGAAACCAUAGUGACAGAAAACUAAAGACUAGAAACUAUAAAUAUAACGUAAGCAGAAAACAGCUAAGAACCAGAAACAUGAACGACACUAAAUCAAUGAAUAUCAAUCACACCAGAAAACACAUAAACACUGAGUCACAGACCCAAUGCCAUGACACUAUCUGGGCCCAGGAUUCUUAAUCUCAAGAGUUUCUAUUACAUUAGAGCUACAAUAGCAUCCAAAUUCUUGUAACAAGCAACAUCUGGACACACCUUGAACUUGGGUCUAUGGGGUAGUGAAGCUAUUAAACUUAACUUGGAGCGCCACCUAGUUUUCUAACAGGCAAAGCACUAUUGAGAUGAGGAGAAUAAAAUACUGUUAAAACAUGACUAUAAAAAAACUAACAAUUUUUUAUGAAAACAAUUAUGAUGUACUUGAUUAAUUAGUAAACAUGUCUGUCACUGUACAGUUUGUUAACAGUUUUUAACAUACUGUAAGGGAGGUUGAAUUGCAAAAGGUGGAGGUGGAGGCGGAGACAGCUGUCAAGUUGUGACAGUUGGAACUCCAGCCGGCUUCCCUUCCUGCGACUGCCUCCAUUCGGCAGGCAGACAUACCGUUUGAUGUGGGGAAAAACAGUCGUCUGGUUCCGGUGUUCCGCGACAAUGAGGUUGACAUCUACUUCGAGUCAUUUGAGCGAAUAGCCACAGCCUUGCACUGGCCACGGGACUCAUGGGCCAUUUUGCUACAAUGUAAGCUGGCAGGUAAGGCUCAGGAAGUUUGUUCCUCGUUGUCAGCUGAGGACUGCCUGGACUAUGACAAGCUGAAAAGUGCUAUCCUUAUAUCCUUAUGAGCUGGUCCCAGAGGCUUAUAGGCAGCGUUUCCGGAGAUUGAAAAGGGGACAGGGUCAGUCCUAUCUUGAUUUUGCCAGGGAAAAAAGUGUCCUUUUCGAUUGGUAGUGUGCGGCCUGCAAAGCUGCUGACCGUGCUUCGAUCUGUAAACGAAUGCAGACAGAGGAAUUUAAGAACGAUUAAUGGGGUGAAUUUUAUAAUGGGAAAUGACAUAGCGGGUGGGAAAGUUUAUCCUACCCCUGAGGUGACCAACAAUCCUGUUGUAGAGCCUGUUUUAGAUACCCUGAGUCAGCAUGACCUGACCACUUCAUGCAAUAUACACUAAUGGCCUUUGGCAUGAAAAAUGCCCCAGCUACCUUUCAACGUUUAAUGCAGUUGGUGUUGGGAGAUGUGUCCCAGUGCAAUGUGUAUCUAAAUGAUGUAGUGCUAUACACAGACACAUGGGCAGAUCAUAUGUCCCUCCUGAGGACAGUGUUUCAGCGGCUAGCCGAGGCCUCGUUGACCCUCAAUCUCACUAAAUGCGAGUUUGGUAAGGCAACAGUCACUUACCUAGGUAAGCAGGUGGGGUUUGGACAGGUCAGCCCGGUGGAGGUGAAGAUUGCUGCAAUCUUAGACUACCCGAUUCCAACCACCAGACGGGAACUGAAGCGGUUCCUAGGUAUGACCGGAUAUUACCGGUGCUUCUGUAA
ensembl:lncRNA